ACUGACGCUGAGGCUCGAAAGCGUGGGUAGCGAACAGGAUUAGAUACCCUGGCAGUCCACGCCGUAAACGAUGAGUGCUAGGUGUUAGGCCCUUUCCGGGGCUUAGUGCCGGAGCUAACGCAAUAAGCACUCCGCCUGGGGAGUACGACCGCAAGGUUGAAACUCAAAGGAAUUGACGGGGGCCCGCACAAGCGGUGGAGCAUGUGGUUUAAUUCGAAGCAACGCGAAGAACCUUACCAGGUCUUGACAUCCCGAUGCUAUUCUUAGAGAUAGGAAGUUACUUCGGUACAUCGGAGACAGGUGGUGCAUGGUUGUCGUCAGCUCGUGUCGUGAGAUGUUGGGUUAAGUCCCGCAACGAGCGCAACCCUUAUUGUUAGUUGCCAUCAUUAAGUUGGGCACUCUAGCGAGACUGCCGGUAAUAAACCGGAGGAAGGUGGGGAUGACGUCAAAUCAUCAUGCCCCUUAUGACCUGGGCUACACACGUGCUACAAUGGUCGGUACAACGAGUUGCGAGCCGGUGACGGCAAGCUAAUCUCUGAAAGCCGAUCUCAGUUCGGAUUGGAGGCUGCAACUCGCCUCCAUGAAGUCGGAAUCGCUAGUAAUCGCGGAUCAGCACGCCGCGGUGAAUACGUUCCCGGGCCUUGUACACACCGCCCGUCACACCACGAGAGUUUGUAACACCCGAAGUCGGUGAGGUAACCUUUUAGGGNCCAG
rnacentral:rRNA from 1 species